GUGCAGCGGGGUGACGGUUGUGCGAGGGGGAGGUGGCUGGUUCGCCUGCCGGGCGGGAGGUGUCGCCGGGCGGCCGGAGCCCGCCCCAGAGCCCGCUGCCCCGGAGCCCCACCGCCGCCUCCUUACCUUUAUUCGCCACCUCCCAGGCGAUCUCGAACAGAAAGAGGUUGUCCGUCGGCAAUUCAUCCUCGAAGCCGCUAAAUGAAGAAUCUGCACCAGGCAACGCCCAAAUUCUUCCAGGAUCAUAUGUUCGGCAACUGACAGGGAAUGAACUUUCCAUUAUGGCUACAUUAUAAGCUCUGAAAAGGACGCAGGCUUCCGGCGACAAUCAGUGGAAGCCAUCACUUGUCGCAAUAGAUGACGGUGGUAGCAGAAUUAGCUCAGGAUACUUCCAGUUUCCAGCCCCGCGACGUGGAUGCUUCUGCUAUGGGGACAAUUCUUAAAUGAAGGCAUAUGAAGGCCUUUCUAUGUUUACCAUGAAUUUCUAAGUAUUGAUUCACAACAUUAGUAAUUUAAAGUGCAGGUGUUUACCUUGUUAGAGAUAUAGUGGAAGGGAUAUGCACACUUGGCUCGGAGCUAAGGUUGCCAUUUUCUGUGAUUGGUCCACCAGGUGUUUGUUGUAGCUGCUCAAAACAAAAUGACAUGAUUCAAAAUACAGUUCCAACAUUCCUUUAGAAACAUAGAAACAUAGAAAUUAAUCUAUACUAUACAUCAAAUAAUAUACUUUUGCUUAGGUAUGCUGACUUUAGUGCAAUCUUACACUGGUCAACAUGUUGAGGCCAGGGCAAAACACAAAGUGCUGGAGUAACUCAGCGGGUCAGGCAUCAUCUGUGGGUCAGGCAGCAUCUGUGGAAGGA